AUUGAACGCUGGCGGCAGGCCUAACACAUGCAAGUCGAGCGGAUGAAGGGAGCUUGCUCCUGGAUUCAGCGGCGGACGGGUGAGUAAUGCCUAGGAAUCUGCCUGGUAAUGGGGGAUAACGUCCGGAAACGGGCGCUAAUACCGCAUACGUCCUGAGGGAGAAGGUGGGGGAUCUUCGGACCUCACGCUAUCAGAUGAGCCUAGGUCGGAUUAGCUAGUUGGUGGGGUAAAGGCCUACCAAGGCGACGAUCCGUAACUGGUCUGAGAGGAUGAUCAGUCACACUGGAACUGAGACACGGUCCAGACUCCUACGGGAGGCAGCAGUGGGGAAUAUUGGACAAAGGGCGAAAGCCUGAUCCAGCCAUGCCGCGUGUGUGAAGAAGGUCUUCGGAUUGUAAAGCACUUUAAGUUGGGAGGAAGGGCAGUAAGUUAAUACCUUGCUGUUUUGACGUUACCAACAGAAUAAGCACCGGCUAACUUCGUG
rnacentral:rRNA from 1 species